GUCAUCGGGGUCGAAGGAGAUCUCGUCGUCACCAGCUGAGACGGAAAACAUGGAUGUUAGAAAACCAUCUGCAGACACUGGAAACAGACUCCGCCUCCAAAAAGGAGGACGUCACAUCCAGGAAACCUUUGAAUGAUGGGAGAGAUGAAGAAAGACGAAGACGGCUGAAACCAUCAUCAACCGGAGAAGAAGCUGCUGCUUUGGAGACACAGGACAAUGAGAAUUCUUCCAGAAUGCAGCGUUUUUGUCCCAAAAUAACAGUCUGACCUGCUGCUGCUGGCUCGUCUGGGUUGAGGUA